rnacentral:rRNA from 1 species
GACGAACGCUGGCGGCGUGCUUAACACAUGCAAGUCGAACGGAAAGGCCCUGCUUGCAGGGUACUCGAGUGGCGAACGGGUGAGUAACACGUGGGUGAUCUGCCCUGCACUUCGGGAUAAGCUUGGGAAACUGGGUCUAAUACCGGAUAGGAGCCAUCUUUAGUGUGGUGGUUGGAAAGUUUUUUCGGUGUAGGAUGAGCUCGCGGCCUAUCAGCUUGUUGGUGGGGUAAUGGCCUACCAAGGCGGCGACGGGUAGCCGGCCUGAGAGGGUGUACGGCCAGUUUGGACCCGUGCGGGAGGCCGGACUAGUGAGGGUGGCGGCAGUGGGGAAUAUUGGACAAAGCGCGGAAGCGUGAGUGAGCGAGGCCGCGUGAGCGAUGAAGGCCGUUAGGUUGUAAGCUCCUUUGUGUAGGGACGAAGCUUCUUUGUGACGGUACCUAGAUAAGAAGCACCGGCUAACUACGUG